AAAAAGCUUCCGUAGGUGAACCUGCGGAAGGAUCAUUAACGAAUUUGCUGUUGAGCGGCAAAGAAACUAAACCAAAACUUCUGGGUGGCCGGGCCCGGGUAAGAAGUAUGAACAGAAUCUAAGAGUGAAUAAAAAAAAAAAGUACGUGAGUACGUGUGUGUGUGUGUGUGUUUGUGUUACACCGAGGAAAAAGGGAGUAUGAAGGAGGUGUAAGUUACUCGGUCCUCUCUCCAACAUACGGCAUAACAUACAUACUACCACUACCAUCUUUGACUAGGCUUCAGACCAAGCUCUCUACGUUGUCCCACACACCGCUAAUAUUUUGCCUCGAUCUCUGCGCUCUCAUACGGGAUAAGUCCACCGGAAACGGGGCAUUCGGCAGGAAGCAGAGAUGAGUUGGGCGGUGUAGCGCUGUUAGAGGGUUUGUGUCUGUGCCUAGAUGCUGAUUCGUUCAUUCAAGUGGCUCCCCCGGCCAGAACACCUAACCAUCAGCAGUAGACUGUUGCGACAGACUGCUGAUGACCCAUGUUAUUAAUACUACUACUACUUCUCCCUCCCGUCAAGUGACGGCUACGAGGGUAGACUAUAAAACGCUUACACACUGGAAGGGUGGUGGUGGUACGUUGCCUUACUAAACAACCUCUCCCGGGCAGAGCAUCCGGGAGCUUGGUUGGAAAAAAGUAAGGUAACAAGAGUCCAGAGUCGUACUACGUUCUGGUCUCGGCCGCAGCCGCCCAGUGAGUGUUGAGCGACUGAAUCUUUUUUAAACCUUAACACUACCUGUCACUACUACGACAAACCUUCAAACCCAUAGUACUAAGUCUUCCCACAUGGUCUCUUGAGGCAGAGAUUGUGGAAGUGAUAAAAGUCGGCACAGCCCGACGGCAAUUAAAAAAUACAACUCUUAACGGUGGAUCACUCGGCUCGUGGGUCGAUGAAGAACGCAGCAAGCU
rnacentral:misc_RNA from 1 species